GUAACAAGGUUUCCGUAGGUGAACCUGCGGAAGGAUCAUUACUGAUUUGCUUAAUUGCACCACAUGUGUUUUUCUUUGAAACAAACUUGCUUUGGCGGUGGGCCCAGCCUGCCGCCAGAGGUCUAAACUUACAACCAAUUUUUUAUCAACUUGUCACACCAGAUUAUUACUAAUAGUCAAAACUUUCAACAACGGAUCUCUUGGUUCUCGCAUCGAUGAAGAACGCAGCGAAAUGCGAUACGUAAUAUGAAUUGCAGAUAUUCGUGAAUCAUCGAAUCUUUGAACGCACAUUGCGCCCUCUGGUAUUCCGGAGGGCAUGCCUGUUUGAGCGUCGUUUCUCCCUCAAACCGCUGGGUUUGGUGUUGAGCAAUACGACUUGGGUUUGCUUGAAAGACGGUAGUGGUAAGGCGGGAUCGCUUUGACAAUGGCUUAGGUCUAACCAAAAACAUUGCUUGCGGCGGUAACGUCCACCACGUAUAUCUUCAAACUUUGACCUCAAAUCAGGUAGGACUACCCGCUGAACUUAAGCAUAUCAAUAA
rnacentral:misc_RNA from 1 species